AUGAAGGCUCCAGACCCAGAGUCCAGCAGUGCUCUGCCAGUUCUGGAGGGGAGGCAGAACCUUUGGCCCACGGUCUCAGGUUCCUUUAACCAAAGACCAUCUUUGAAGAUACAGAAUGCAGGAACCUCUUCACCUGACAGAUGCAGUACUUGGACACAAGGUCUCAGGUCUCGUGGCAACAGAAUGCUGUCUAUGAAGUCUCCUCGUCACAGAAAGCCAGUGCACCGUAAAGUAGAGCAAUUUAGAGUUGAGUCUUUCACAGCCUCUGGAUUUACAGCAGACUUGAAAUCAACAAAAGAUCUAAAGUGUGGAGCUCCACGGAGCAGGAGGACGGUUUGGGUUGUCAUAUGAGGCUUUGUGCUCCUAUUUGAUGCAGUCUUCGAGGCAGAGGUCGUAUUAUGACAUACUCUGGGUGCCCAAAAUUGUGAGAACAGCCAGUUCUGUUUGAAUGAGCCUGAACAGGUGAGCCUAGCUGAAAGCUCUCCUCUCCUAUUGAUUCCACCCAUUAAAUCCACUCUAGUCAUGCAGGAGAGAUGUGGAUUAGGAGGAUUAGAGAAGGCAAAGAGGGGUGUUUGAGCUCUGACAUAGGUGAGACUGUAACCGCAGACGUCUGUGCCCCAGUUCUGACUCUGCAGGAGCAACAAAAAGAUGCUCAGCCGGUACAAGAGGAGGUGAGACAACAGUCGGCUGUGAUCCCUGAAGCGCUGAGGACGGGCAGCUACAAAACGGAAAAAGCAAGAGGCUCCUGACUUCAUCAACUCACUACUUUAUAUCCUUAUAUAAAAGUUUAAACAUGGAGGAAUGUUUUGAAGAGUAAUAAUAAGGUGACGAGAGCACUCAGGACACGCACGCACGCACGCGCACACGCACGCACGCACACACACACGCACACACACACACACACACACACACACACACACACACACACUGGAGACGACAUCCAGGUCAAAGUCGUGUGCAGUACAACUGUCUGCUUUUUUGGCUCAGCUGUGACACGACAAAUUCACUGGAUGUUCUGAGACUUAAGGCUUCAGUUUAUCACUACCUUUGUUCUGAUGGGGAUUCAAUCUUACGACCUUUAGAUUUCAUGCUACAACAGGAAGCUAUCGCUUCCAUCCAGAGGAUCCAGUACAGAUCAAAACAAUGACUUCCUACAGUCACAAGAUGUCGCUGUUUCUCAGUGGACUCAACUGGACAUCGUUCACAGCAAAUCGAAAAGAAGCCUGUGAAGCUACAAAGGCUUCGGAGAUGAGAGGAAGAGAAACCUAAACUAAAACAGCACCUUUGUACAAUUCUCAGAAAGUCCAAUAAUGUUUGUGCCCGUCUUGUCUUGUACUGUCAGCUGUUUCAGUAGAAACAUUUAAACUUGAAAUAGAAUGUCAUGUUUUCCUUUUGUUGUUACAAUUGUUAUUUGCUGCUAUGGAGCUGGAGAAAAUCAAACCGUUCUUUAAAUCAUAAUUACAACUGGAAUACGGUGAAUGACUUGAAUGAUUGCCGCCUGAUAAAACAGCAGAGCACAAAGCAGUCGGAGCCCAUUUAAUAUUCUUUGCAUGACGCAUGUAGUAACUCAGAUGUGUGGACUUCACAUGUAGGUGCUCACAUGGCUGCUUUCAUUACUGUACGAUGACUGUUAUAUUGAACUUUACAGUCUCUCAAGCUGCUUUUCAUUCGGGGUAUUUAGGUCAAUGGCACAUGUACUGGUUAAAGUGGUUUGGUUUCAUUCCCCUGGCAGAUGUGACCACCUGUUCGUGUCUAAAUUACUAAAUAUAAAGAACGUUACUGAGCUGUAACAGAUUUUACACAUUUAUGUUUUAGGACAAAACCUACAUUCAGCAGCUACAUGAUCUCAAAGCCAGUUUUUAGCUUUGACUUCCUGUUCAUGGCCUAAAUAACGUCAUCCUGUAAGAAACUCUUCACAAACAGCAGCAAACGUGUAUCAGGCACCAGGUAGUGACAGGAUGACUGCACGUUAAUGAAUAAAUGAACAGGUUAAAUCA
rnacentral:lncRNA from 1 species